UACGGAGGGGGCUAGCGUUGUUCGGAAUUACUGGGCGUAAAGCGCACGUAGGCGGCUUUGUAAGUUAGAGGUGAAAGCCCGGGGCUCAACUCCGGAAUUGCCUUUAAGACUGCAUCGCUCGAAUUGUGGAGAGGUAAGUGGAAUUCCGAGUGUAGAGGUGAAAUUCGUAGAUAUUCGGAAGAACACCAGUGGCGAAGGCGACUUACUGGACACAUAUUGACGCUGAGGCACGAAAGCUAGGGGAGCAAACAGG
rnacentral:rRNA from 1 species